AUGGAAAUGACCUGGGAGAGAAAGAAAAUUAGGAAAGAAAAAAAAAAAAAAGAGGAACGGACGAGUGCAAAGAUUGAAUGAUUCUAUAGCGAUCGCCUAAUGACACCAAGCCUCAUAAUAUCUCCCCCUAAAAAUCCACGCGUGAGUGUAGCAUUGAAAUAUUUUGUUUCGCUUUUCUAUUGGUCUUCUCGGUGUCGUUGUGGCGUUGUCAUGGCAGCCCUGCCAAUCACUGUCAAGCGUGCCAAUCAUUAGCCAGUACGUAGUGGCUUUCACCACUUGUGUGUGUGUGUGGGGGGGGUUAUCAGGAAGUCCGAUCUGAACACCGCCCUCCCUCCUGAAGCAGAAGCCGAGGCUCAGCCGAUUUGUUGAAUGGAAUGAGCAAUUAGUGGGUGGAAUAUUAUUGCGAUCUUAACGAGACUCGUUAAAGCUAAAGAAGAUAUGUAGUAAAGAGAAGGCAGGGGUGGCGGCUGCUUGGAGGAGAAGGAGAAAGAGGAGGAGGAGGAGGAGGAGGGUAACAGUCGCACAUGGAAUCCACAUUUAAAUGAAGGACUUGAAACGGAGUCUACAACACGCAGCGCGUGCGCUCACUAGACUAUAUGAACGUAAUCUCUAGACAUCUGUCGCUACCAAAUGCACAACGCUGUUUCAGAUUAUAGGGCGAGGUUUUCUUUUGCGAAUUUUCCUGAAUGGAUUGCAGUCGUCAGGUGACGGUGGUCUCACGAGCCUGAGCCCAUUUGGAGCGUUCAACUUUACAUCUACUUUUGUGAUUAGGCAGCACGCGCAGCAUCCGCUUCAGAAAAAUCCAAAAAAGUGCAAACGCGGCAUGCAGCUUUGUGGGCCGUCAGGAUGGGGCGCAACAGCCCCUUUUUAUUUGCCUAGUCGAAAGCUUUCAAGCUUUGUGUUGUGCAUCGUUCAGGACCUUUUGCAUAGCCGUAGCCUACAUAACGUGAUGCGGUUUUCUGACGCUCAGCUGGGGCACCGUGCACUGAUAACAACUUCCGCUCUUAUUGACAAGGAACAUUACGCCGUGUGGGCAAAGUCCAUCAUAUUGUACUCUGAAGGUUUUGUUCUCCACCACUUUGUCUUUUUUUUUUGUGUGGUCUCAUUAAGUGGACAUCCUGCUAGGUUUGCAGAAUUAUACGGAAGCUGUCCGAUCAAUGUAUGCGCACGGCUUGUUAGCGACAUUUAAUGAGGCUUCUCUGCGCACUGAGAGAAUGGCACCUCGAUGUUAGAUUUACCUUGUGUCAACUCGUUACUUCUAAAGAAGGCAUUGGAGGAUUCUCUGCUGAAUGGAACCAGGCGGCUGGAACUGUAGGCUCUCUUCUUCCGAGUUCUCUUGCCUAGCCAAACUCCAUAACGGUAUCUGUCUGUGUAGAGCUUUUUAUUUUUUUUAUUUUUUUAAAUCCAUCGACCUCUCAUAUAGAUAGACAUGCCUUUAUACCCAGACACGACAUAUAAUCACACGGCUAUAGCAAAGGCUCUAAAUACUGCUGUUUUGAUUGACCUGGGCAUCAAGUCAAUUGCAUCCCAAAAAGUUAUCGUUUGUAGUUGUAAUGCCAGAUAAAGCCAUAAACACACACUCAAAUAUAUUUUGCCGUCUAAUUAUCUAACCCUAACUCUAAUUAUAUAUGCGCCCCUCCCCCCCCCCCUUUUUUUUUUUUUUUUCUGAUCACGUUUCCAAGAUCCAGGCUGGCCAUAAUUUCCAUAACCAUAUACAUCAGAAUGGAUUGUGUCACUAUUCUCAAUGAUACAUACUAUGAGUAGUCUGUUUUUUUUAUGUUAUUUUGAUGUAUUAUUUGAACAAUUAUUUAUUUAUGGACCUGGGAAUAAUCGUGUUAGGAUUUUUCUAGCACGCAGUGUCAUUCAUAUGCAAAUGCAAAACAUCCAGUUUAGAUUAGACCAUCAUUUUAUGCAAAUCUGAAAAGAGAGAUAUUUAAAAAUUUAAAAAACGUGCAGAAUGAUGACGUGUAAUGAAGUCCUGGGGCAUUUUGAUUCAGGGAGUUCUAAAAUACUUUUAUAUACAUUCGUAGAUAUUACAUAAUACGUUAUAUAUCACAUUAGGGAAUGAUAUGAAUUGAGUGAAUAUAGUAUUAUCGAAUAAACAAUCAGUAUUAGUAUCAGCACAAACUAUUUGCACUACGUACACGUAAAUGGAUUUAUUUUUUUCCCCUCUGAACUUACUAUCAUAGACCCUUAUCCAAAUAAGAAAUACCAACUUUAAUUUUUUUUUAAUUAUUAAUAAUGGUCAGGUUAAAAAAGGGUAGACAAUUGGAGAAGCUUUUGAAAGCUCUACGUUUUGUAGGAGUGUUAUUACAAAUCGUAAAAACAUUUUGUAAAAAAGAAACAAAAAAACAAAAAAAAAAAAUUACGUUACUCUCAACACAUUAUUCCUCAUGCAAAAAUGCUAAACAUAUGCGAUCAUUAUCUCAUUAUACAGUAGUACUUUACAGUAAAUUAAUGACAUUACAUUUAAUAAAAAACGUAUACAUUAUACAUGUUCGUACUGUUUAAUUUAAUACUAAAACCUGCUACUUGUAAUUAGAUAUUAUUAUUAUUAUUAUUAUUAUUCAUAAUACGAACAUUUAUAAUGUAUUCAUUUUUCUUAUAUAUUAAUGUCAUCAAAGGUUAAAAAAUAUGUAAAGUUUCUAAUCUGUUUGUAUGUAAAAGUUAUAUAAUAUAAUGAAGUCUAAAGGUCUAGUUUAAUUAGGCUGUGGCACUUCUUUGUUGGUCAGAGCCACUGCAUAUCACAUUAAGGUUUAGUUUUAUUUUUACUUACUACUGGUAGUAAUAUUUUGUGUAUUUUUUAGUUAAGAUUGUUUUUUUCUGAGUUCUGGAUUUUUAUGCUUAUUUUUAUACUGGUAAAAUAUCAAUUCGUAGAGGUCAUGAGUGACAUUUUUAAUGUUAUGCUAUGUAAAGUGAAAUAAAACCGUUUGGAAAAAAAUUUAAAAA